GACGAACGCUGGCGGCGUGCCUAAUACAUGCGAGUCGAACGGAUUUUCUUUCACUGUUGCUUGCUACACCGAAAGAAACGGAGUGGUGAACGGGUGAGUAACACGUGGGUAACUUGCCCAUCAGCGGGGGAUAACACUUGGAAACAGGUGCUAAUACAGCAUAAUUCCAUUUACCGCAUGGUAGUUGGUUGAAAGGGGCUUUUGCGUCACUGUUGGAUGGUCCCGCGGUGCUUUAGCUAGUUGGUGGGGUAACGGCCUACCAAGGCUGCGAUGCAUAGCCGACCGGGGAGGGAGUGCGGCCACACUGGGACUGAGACCCGGCCCAGACGCCUACGGGAGACGGCAGAAGGGAAUCUUCGGCAAAGGAGACAAGUCUGACCGAGCAACGCCGCGUGAGUGAAGAAGGAUCUCGGAUCGUAAAACUCUGUUGUUAGAGAAGAACAAGGAUUAGAGUGGAAAGUUCAUCCCUUGACGGUAUCUAACCAGAAAGCCACGGCUAACUACGUG
rnacentral:rRNA from 1 species